UACGAAGGGGGCUAGCGUUGCUCGGAAUCACUGGGCGUAAAGCGCACGUAGGCGGAUUGCUAAGUCAGGGGUGAAAUCCUGGAGCUCAACUCCAGAACUGCCUUUGAUACUGGCGACCUUGAGUCCGGGAGAGGUGAGUGGAACUGCGAGUGUAGAGGUGAAAUUCGUAGAUAUUCGCAAGAACACCAGUGGCGAAGGCGGCUCACUGGGGAUUUUCUGACGCUGAGGAACGAAAGCCAGGGGAGCGAACGGG
rnacentral:rRNA from 1 species